ensembl:lncRNA
GCAUCCACACGGAAGUCUGCCCGGCCUGGCCGCUACGUGUCACCUAGCUAUCCGCGUCAAGCCGGAUCCAUAUAUAGCAGUUCCUUGUGUGUAGGGAGAAAGUUAAAACUGCCACCUAAGGGUUUCCAUGGGAAGACUAAAAGUAGGCUCACCCACCUGCUGUGAAGCAGCGCGCGCCAGCUGUUACUAACAGUAAUGAAAAGGCGGGGUCCCUGCCCGAGGCGCGCACGGGGGCGCCGGCUGACCCAGCGACCAGAGGGAGACUCAUGGCCGGCGCUGCACAGCCUGUGGGGCCGGAGGGGAACCGUCGCCCUUGGCGGGCUUCCCCAACUGCCACGGCCUGAGGACGGCCGAGAACCUGACGGGAGCCUGUCCUGGGUUUUACAGGCCGGUUGGGGAGCUGCGCUGGAGGAGAGAGCCAGGGGCUGGGGCCCGGUGAUGGAGCCUGCCUUGGGGAAUCCAUGUGUUGGAGAGGAUGGGAAGCAGAUAUGAUAACCCUGACCUGAGCCAUGGAGACGCAAGGACAGGACUGGUAGACGGGUCAGUGGGCAGCAACUUAAGGCUGACCUCGCUUGAGCCUUUGCCUGCGAACGAAGUAUAAUACCCACCUCGGGGGCUUGAGGAUCAAAUGAGGGGCUCCACCCACGGCAAAGUGUCACUAAGCGGGAGCUCUGAUUAUCCAGGACUGAUGGAUGGAGGAGGAUGCAGGAAGAGGAGCCUGGGAGGACCCGCUCUGGAAAGGAUGGAAAUCGAGAGCACCAUUCUCAGGGACGAAGAUAAGCUGUUUACUUGGGGCAGGCUGCGGGGAGAGCUGUCCAGCAAGCAGCCACGGUGGGGGGGCCGGGGGGGCGUGGGGGACCCAAGGUAGAGGCCUUCCAGGCUGGCUGAGGCCACCUCUGGGUCCCAUGUCCCUGGUUUUGCAUCAUCCACACCAAUCACUCCAUGUUGCUGUGUUCAUUCACUAGAAGACUGUGGGCUCAUAAAGGGCAGGGCAGCCCUCACUCACCAGUCUCCCCAGCCUCACCCAGCCCAGCACAGGGCACCAGGCAGGGACAGAGAGUGCUGGGGUAGGUGGGUGUGGUCAAACAGCUUGGAAAGAGUUUGGCCUGCUCAUUGCAUUCCCCUCAGCUCAUCCUGGGGAUGUCUGCUGGGAGAAUGGCAGAGGGAUCCCCAAUAUUCAUUCCUGAUACUCCUCUCCCUGUAUCAUAUCAACAUAUAGUAGGUGUGGCCUAUCUAUGGCAGAUUCAUUUCUGCCCCUGAUAGGAUUUGCUGUAGUUUGGAUGUGUGUCCCCUCCAAAUCUCAUGUUGAAAUGUGAUCCCAAUGUUGGAAGUGGGGCCUGGUGGGAAGUAAUUGGGUUGUGAGGGCAGAUCCCUUACGAAUGGUUUAGCACCAUCCCCUUGGUGAUGAGUUCUUGCUUAGUUCACACAAGAUCUGGUUAUUUAAGAGUCCAAGACCUCCCCUUCUCUCUCUUACUCCUGCUCUCACUAUGUGAUACACUGGCUCCCUGUCACCCUAUGUCAUGAUCUUAAGCUUCCUGAGGUUAGACCAGAAGCGGAUGCCAGCACCAUGCUUCCUGAAAAGCCCAUGGAACUGUGAGCCAAUUAAACCUCUUUAUAAA